rnacentral:tRNA from 1 species
GGGGCUAUAGUGUAGCUUGGCCAGUCGCUAACCUGGUAAUGUUCUGGGUUCACUGGAGCAUCUAUCAUUCCAGCUCGGGGAGCUGGCGACCCGUGUUCAAAUCGCGGUAGCCCCA